rnacentral:rRNA from 1 species
CCUACGGGAGGCAGCAGUAGGGAAUCUUCGGCAAUGGGCGAAAGCCUGACCGAGCAACGCCGCGUGAAUGAAGAAGGCCUUCGGGUUGUAAAAUUCUGUUAUAAGGGAAGAAAGGUGAUAGGAGGAAAUGACUAUCAAUUGACGGUACCUUAUGAGAAAGCCACGGCUAACUACGUGCCAGCAGCCGCGGUAAUACGUAGGUGGCAAGCGUUAUCCGGAAUUAUUGGGCGUAAAGAGCGCGCAGGUGGUUAAUUAAGUCUGAUGUGAAAGCCCACGGCUUAACCGUGGAGGGUCAUUGGAAACUGGUUGACUUGAGUGCAGAAGAGGGAAGUGGAACUACAUGUGUAGCGGUAAAAUGCGUAAAUAUAUGUAAGAACACCAGUGGCGAAGGCGGCUUGCUGGGUCGAUACUGACAUUGAGGCACGAAAGCGUGGGGAGCAAACAGGAUUAGAUACCCGAGUAGUC